rnacentral:misc_RNA from 1 species
GCAAACUUGGUCAUUUAGAGGAAGUAAAAGUCGUAACAAGGUCUCCGUAGGUGAACCUGCGGAGGGAUCAUUACACAAAUAUGAAGGCGGGCUGGAACCUCUCGGGGUUACAGCCUUGCUGAAUUAUUCACCCUUGUCUUUUGCGUACUUCUUGUUUCCUUGGUGGGUUCGCCCACCACUAGGACAAACAUAAACCUUUUGUAAUUGCAAUCAGCGUCAGUAACAAAUUAAUAAUUACAACUUUCAACAACGGAUCUCUUGGUUCUGGCAUCGAUGAAGAACGCAGC